ensembl:lncRNA
ACACAAGGGUGUCUGUGUCUUGGCAGAGACUUGAGUUUUGAAAUUUUGCCUAAGCAAUCACAGGUGGAGGCUUAGUUGAAUCAUUUAAACACCUGUAACUCGUUAUGCCAAAACCCAAAUACAAAUUAUUGCCGAGGUUCCACUAAUUGAUGCUAAAUGGAAAGAAAAAUAAUGCAAAAGAAAAACCCUCCUAGAACCAAUCAAUAAAUUAAAGAUGCUUGGGGAUAUAAAAUCAGCAGUUAAAUGAGGUACUAAUGAAGAUGGGAAUUUAAUGGUUGGCUGCCUCGCUGUGAAGGGGGGAGGAGAUGCAGACUGAAGAAAUACUGAAGAAAACUCUGGCUAUGAGGACCUGCUGGGCUAAUCCCUUUUUCAGAAAGGGAUGAACCAUUUUGGCUGAAACUCUCCACUGUGUGCUUACCAGGGGCACAAACCUGAAAAAAUCCUGUCCAUAGGAUUAAGUUUGCAAGAAAUAUGAGACAUUGGAAGCAGCUUCUGUAAGUGGAAGAAUCAGCUAACCAGAAGUAUUGGCUAGACCUGGGAGCACCCAGAUGGACCAUGUCCAUGUUUGGAGGCACAUGUAAUGUAUGUAUCAGGUCUUCCUUUUGCUUGACCGUGUCCUACCUGGUGGCUAAAGCAUUGACAGCUGCAUUGCUAGAAGUCCAGGCAAAGGGGUUUUCCUUUCAUUGUGCCCAGGCACUGAAAUAUUUCCUAUCUGCUUGUACCAUAGUGGUGUAUCUUGGCUGUAGCCUGUACCUGAGCUGUCAACAUGUGAAACCGGAUCCCAGAGCAGAGAUACAAUGAGAGUAGCUUGAUGCUUGGUUUCCCUCUUACAGCACUUACUAUAUUGCCUUUGUACCUUUGGAAACACCUUGUAAAAUUACCAGAGCGUAAGAUUGACUCUCCCCACCCAUUCCUGGGCGCCUGUCUAACAAAGUAUAAUUGCUUCUGUCUAAAAUCCCUCUCAUUUUAACUGCUGCUUCCUUGCAUGUGUGUUUGGGCUUUUGUUGCUUAGAGUGGCAGUAUGUCGGGACUGAAAGGCAGCUAAUGGGGAUGGAUUCCCUGCUGCUGUGAGCUGAUGAUAAUGCCUUUUAGCUUAGGUCCAGGACUUGCUCAAGUGCUUUCAUGUCCCUCUAUGGGUAAGGAGCAGCCUGUGGGUGCUGACAGUUAGAAAGGAGAUGCUGCUCCUGGGGCUAAGCUCACCCCACCCUGUGUUGGCAAGGGCUUACCAGGCAGUUUUGUUCUACAGAAGCACUGAGCAGCAGUAUUAUGUUUUUUUUAAGACAAAAUGCAUAUAUAGACCAGGAUAGGGUCCCCUCUUGCCAUCUUCCACGUGGUCUAAUUGCUUCACCCUGCAUCAAUUAAUGCCUCAGGAUUCCUGAGAGUUGCAGUGUAAAUCCUUUUCUUCCUGUCUGUUGUGUGUGGGUCACAGGAUCAUACCUGCCUGGAAGUGGUGCCUGUGAUACCUGCCAUUGGGUGGGUGCAUAGCCCAGAGAUGUUCCUGCAGCCUGUGUUGUCCAUAGCUGCAACUGCAUGCACCAGCAGUGGUGAAACACUUUGGCUGCUUUGCUCUUCAACCUUAAAUGUGCAGUACCUUAUACCGAGAGGUCCUGAGCUGUCACAAGUCUCAAGUGGGUGAUGUUUGUUUUCCCUCCGUUGCCUAUUCCUUUUCCUAAAGAAGGAAGAUCAAUGGACUAUUUCAGCUCACAUGACCUCUGGGAAUAAAGGAUGCUGCCAGAGUAGCUUUGUUUUCUAAGAAACAGGAGGAAAUAAAAGGAAAAGGAAUUAUAAAUAAAUAAAGUAUUGGAUACUACCUCCUGCCCAAUUCCCCACCAAAAACAAUAUUAUCCUAAUAAAAUAAUGAUGCGUUGCUU